rnacentral:rRNA from 1 species
GGGUUGUGAGGUUAAGCGACUAAGCGUACACGGUGGAUGCCCUGGCAGUCAGAGGCGAUGAAGGGCGUGCUAAUCUGCGAUAAGCGCCGGUAAGGUGAUAUGAACCGUUAUAACCGGCGAUACCCGAAUGGGGAAACCCAGUGUGAUUCGUCACACUAUCAUUAACUGAAUCCAUAGGUUAAUGAGGCGAACCGGGGGAACUGAAACAUCUAAGUACCCCGAGGAAAAGAAAUCAACCGAGAUUCCCCCAGUAGCGGCGAGCGAACGGGGAGGAGCCCAGAGCCUGAAUCAGCAUGUGUGUUAGUGGAAGCGUCUGGAAAGGCGCGCGAUACAGGGUGACAGCCCCGUACACAAAAGCGCAUGUGCUGUGAGCUCGAUGAGUAGGGCGGGACACGUGGUAUCCUGUCUGAAUAUGGGGGGACCAUCCUCCAAGGCUAAAUACUCCUGACUGACCGAUAGUGAACCAGUACCGUGAGGGAAAGGCGAAAAGAACCCCGGCGAGGGGAGUGAAAAAGAACCUGAAACCGUGUACGUACAAGCAGUGGGAGCCCCACCACCAAAGCAUUCUCUGGUGUUGAAGGCCCUGCAAAGCAGCAUCGCGGUGGCGGAGCGUCGUUUGCGACGCCCAACACAAAAAACAAGCGGUGAGUGCUUUGGGGUGGGGUGACUGCGUACCUUUUGUAUAAUGGGUCAGCGACUUAUAUUCUGUAGCAAGGUUAACCGAAUAGGGGAGCCGGAGGGAAACCGAGUCUUAACCGGGCGUUAAGUUGCAGGGUAUAGACCCGAAACCCGGUGAUCUAGCCAUGGGCAGGUUGAAGGUUGGGUAACACUAACUGGAGGACCGAACCGACUAAUGUUGAAAAAUUAGCGGAUGACCUGUGGCUGGGGGUGAAAGGCCAAUCAAACCGGGAGAUAGCUGGUUCUCCCCGAAAGCUAUUUAGGUAGCGCCUCGUGAAUUCAUCUCCGGGGGUAGAGCACUGUUUCGGCUAGGGGGCCAUCCCGGCUUACCAACCCGAUGCAAACUGCGAAUACCGGAGAAUGUUAUCACGGGAGACACACGGCGGGUGCUAACGUCCGUCGUGAAGAGGGAAACAACCCAGACCGCCAGCUAAGGUCCCAAAGUCAUGGUUAAGUGGGAAACGAUGUGGGAAGGCCCAGACAGCCAGGAUGUUGGCUUAGAAGCAGCCAUCAUUUAAAGAAAGCGUAAUAGCUCACUGGUCGAGUCGGCCUGCGCGGAAGAUGUAACGGGGCUAAACCAUGCACCGAAGCUGCGGCAGCGACACUGAUGUGUUGUUGGGUAGGGGAGCGUUCUGUAAGCCUGUGAAGGUGGCCUGUGAGGGUUGCUGGAGGUAUCAGAAGUGCGAAUGCUGACAUAAGUAACGAUAAAGCGGGUGAAAAGCCCGCUCGCCGGAAGACCAAGGGUUCCUGUCCAACGUUAAUCGGGGCAGGGUGAGUCGACCCCUAAGGCGAGGCCGAAAGGCGUAGUCGAUGGGAAACGGGUUAAUAUUCCCGUACUUGGUGUUACUGCGAAGGGGGGACGGAGAAGGCUAUGUUGGCCGGGCGACGGUUGUCCCGGUUUAAGCGUGUAGGUGUGUGUUCCAGGUAAAUCCGGUUCACUUUAACACUGAGGCGUGACGACGAGGCACUACGGUGCUGAAGCAACAAAUGCCCUGCUUCCAGGAAAAGCCUCUAAGCAUCAGGUAACAUCAAAUCGUACCCCAAACCGACACAGGUGGUCAGGUAGAGAAUACCAAGGCGCUUGA